GGCUGACAUAGUGGUUUGGGUGCUGAACUACAACUUUGGAGACCAGGGUUCGAUUCCCUGCUCAGCCA